AUUGAUGCAGAGCAGCCUCCACACAGCUGCUCUGAAUGACUGAUGGACAUGAGGGAGAGGCAGGGACCACCAUGUCCCCCUACCACCCUGCAACGAAUGCAGGACAUGGAUGCAAGUUCUGAGCACAGUGGCAAAAUUUCCCUUAUUUGUCAUUCCCUUUUGACAUGGAGCUUCCUGCAGCAGCCUUUCAUGCAAACACAGCAUGAGCUUAAGCAUCUCCACAGGAAAAUGUAUUUUCUUUAAUUUCCUAUACAUUUUUGCCUAGAAUAUAAAAGGACAAUACACACUACAUUCCUCCUUCCUUCCUUGGGCAGUCCUGCCCCACUGGGACCUCCAUUCAAAACUAGAAUUCAAUGGCUUUCAGGGAAAGCAGAAAACAUUUCCAGUGCCAAUUCAAGAAAGGCACCAAACUACA